rnacentral:rRNA from 1 species
UUCCAGACUCCUACGGGAGGCAGCAGUGAGGAAUAUUGGUCAAUGGGCGGAGGCCUGAACCAGCCAAGUCGCGUGAGGGAAUAAGGCCCUACGGGUCGUAAACCUCUUUUGCCGGGGAGCAAGGGCGGGGACGUGUCCCGGCCCGGAGAGUACCCGGAGAAAAAGCAACGGCUAACUCCGUGCCAGCAGCCGCGGUAAUACGGAGGAUGCGAGCGUUAUCCGGAUUUAUUGGGUUUAAAGGGUGCGUAGGCGGGCUUUUAAGUCAGCGGUAAAAAUGCGGUGCUCAACGCCGUACAGCCGUUGAAACUGGCAGCCUUGAGUGGGCGAGAAGUAUGCGGAAUGCGUGGUGUAGCGGUGAAAUGCAUAGAUAUCACGCAGAACUCCGAUUGCGAAGGCAGCAUACCGGCGCCCGACUGACGCUGAGGCACGAAAGCGUGGGUAUCGAACAGGAUUAGAUACCCCAGUA